AUGGGAACCCCAUCCCCAUCUUGUUUCUCACAGAGCAGCAGUAGAUCACAAAGGGGAGACCGUAGGAUUGUAUGGACAACUUUGACUGGGAGAAAGAAUAAUGUGAAAACUGCUGGUACAGUUCUACAUCUAACAUGCUGCAAAAAAGUGGCAAGGAAAGAGUUGAGGAAGUCAUCUUCAGCUGAGAACAUCUAUCAUUUUCUGUCUUUGCCUUUGGGUUUCUGUGGAUUUCUGUGGAUUUCCUAAAGGAUGCCACAAAAUGCAACCAGAAGAAAAUCAGCCCUGAGACUGAAUUCUGCUUUACUCCACAGCCCAGAUAGCUAAAUACUAAAAUAGACUUCAUGGUAUUUCUCUGCUAAGGGAUCUAGAGCCAUCAUGAAAUCUGUAAAUAUAUGAGUUCUGUGAUUUCAAUUCUGCUAGUGUUGGACACAGGAAAACAAAACAAACAAUACAUCUGUAGCAUACCUUAUGGAAACGGAAAAAAUUCUUCUUAUUUUAUCAACUAGACUUUAUUUUUGUGUUGAUUCCUGGGUCAUCAAAUUUCAGCAUAAACUGAGACUGAGAAAUACAGUGUGUUUUAAACUACUUGGAAAUUAAAAUUGUUUUAGACUAAUGCCAAAUAUAAAAUUUUCUCCAUAAAGCUGCCUUAAAGAUUUCCAGUAAAUCAUUCAAGCAAAAUAAUAUGUAUUUAUGUUUUUAAAUAAGAGUUUUGAAACCACCUCAUGCAAGAACAAAUACACAAGACAAUUUACAGUACUGUAUCUAUUCUUCAUGGUUCUUUUGUGCUAUGGAUAUGGAGAUACUUCUUUUCAGAACAUUCUCCUCAGAGAUAUUUUUGACUCCUGCACCAAAACACAACUUUUAGCACUUAUAUAAAGCCAAUAAUAAUACUGAAAGCUGAAAGUGCUACUGAAGCCCAGGAAGAGAGAGUGUUAUGGUUGGAGGCAUGGUUUGCAUGUCAACAGGUGCUGUGUUGCUGCUACACCCUAGGAAGAUAUUUAUUAAUAGCACCAAAGGUUUGGUUUGCAAACAACACACUAUGGGAAGUUGAGACUUCAAAAGUGUGUGUUGUAAAAUCAGGGUCUUAGCGCUGUAAUGAUGCCCAUGAAAGACGAAAUUGUUUGCUAACAUGGGUGCUGAUUUUCUACCAAGGAUUCUGAAGUAACAGGCUCGUUACUUGCAGCAGACUUGACAAAUCUGUUCCUGCUAGCUUCUUGAUCAAGAUCUUAUGUAUAACAAAUAUGAAAGCCUGGGCUGGAGAGAGGCCAAAAGAGGACUUGUGUGAUUCAUACUUCUGCAACCUAUCAGAACUGCUAUAAUUUCUGCCUCUUCCCACACUCUUCUUAAAUCCAUUUUUCCUUAUGGAGAUCCCUUAUUUUAAAACAGUUUAUUAAAUCAAGGCUAAGGAUAUCCAGAUUUCUUAGACUUAGAAACUGCACAACACUAUUUCUAAUACAUUUUUAAAGUAGUUUUUUUUAUAGAGGAUCGAGUAUUGCAGUUAUAAGUAUUAUUUUAGAAAAUCUUUUUUCACAACUCAGAUAAAACUGUGCUAUAUAUUCAGUUAUUUAAAUAAAAAUUUAUUACACAAAUG
ensembl:lncRNA